GUCCUUUUGUGGGUCAUCAGCAUGAUGCUGGGGCGUUCACACUCGUGUGAGACAUGCCUCUCUCCAACCUUGUUAAGAUGUCAGCACAUGACCCAUCUCACA
rfam:Pan troglodytes isolate Yerkes chimp pedigree #C0471 (Clint) chromosome 13, whole genome shotgun sequence.